rnacentral:rRNA from 1 species
GACGAACGCUGGCGGCGUGCUUAACACAUGCAAGUCGAACGGAAAGGCCCUGCUUUUGUGGGGUGCUCGAGUGGCGAACGGGUGAGUAACACGUGAGUAACCUGCCCUUGACUUUGGGAUAACUUCAGGAAACUGGGGCUAAUACCGGAUAGGAGCUCCUGCUGCAUGGUGGGGGUUGGAAAGUUUCGGCGGUUGGGGAUGGACUCGCGGCUUAUCAGCUUGUUGGUGGGGUGGUGGCUUACCAAGGCUUUGACGGGUAGCCGGCCUGUGAGGGUGACCGGCCACAUUGGGACUGAGAUACGGCCCAGACUCCUACGGGAGGCAGCAGUGGGGAAUAUUGCACAAUGGGCAGAAGCCUGAUGCAGCAACGCCGCGUGCGGGAUGACGGCCUUCGGGUUGUAAACCGCUUUCGCCUGUGACGAAGCGUGAGUGACGGUAAUGGGUAAAGAAGCACCGGCUAACUACGUG